AUGUGUGAGGCCAUAGGCAAAUUUGGUCCUGGAUAUGAGCCUCCUACUCAAUAUGAGCUUAGGGAGAAGUUGUUGAGUGAUGAAUAUGCAAGGACCAAGAGUUUGUUAGAUGAACGUGAGAAGGAGAAGAUAAAGCUUGGGUGCACCAUCAUGACAGAUGCAUGGACGGACAUGAAGAGGAGGAGCAUAAUGAAUUUGUGCAUGCAUUGCAGUGGGGGGACAAGUUUUCUCAAAUCAAAGGAAACAUCUGAUGUGUCACAUACAAGUGACGUCAUAUUUCAGCUAGUGGACAGCGCAAUUGAGGAGGUAGGGGCGGAGCAUGUGAUGCAAGUGGUGACGGACAAUGCUUCCAAUAACAUGGGAGCCAAGAAAAUGUUGCUUGAGAAGAGGCCGAAGAUCUUUUGGAGCUCUUGUGCAACUCACACUAUCAACUUAAUGCUCCAAGGAAUUGGCAGCCUCAACAGAUUCAAAACAAUAAUUGAUCAAGCAAAGAACCUCACCAUCUUCAUCUAUGCGCAUCACAAGACUUUGGCAUUGAUGAGGGUUGCUACAAAAAGGAGAGAUAUCAUAAGGCCGGGGGUGACUAGAUUUGCUUCCGCUUUUCUCACAUUGCAAAGUUUGUUGGAGAAGAAAGAUGCUUUAAGGUAUAUGGUGGUUGAAAGAGCUUGGGAAGAUAUGAAAAAUGUGAAAACAAAGAAAGGCAAGGAUGCAACAGCAACGGUGAUGGAUGCAAACUUUUGGAAAGGUGUGCUCCUAUGCAUAAAGGUGUUUGAGCCAUUGGUGAGAGUACUUCGUUUGGUUGAUGGGGAUAUUAAGCCAUCGAUGGCUUGGUUGUAUGGAGAGUUGGUGAAUGCAAAGAGGGAGAUGAAGGAGGCAUUUAACAACUUGGAGAGGAACUACAAAGAUAAUAUGGGCAUUGUUGAAAAGAAGAUGAAUGGAAGGCUAGAUUCUCCACUGCACAUGGCCGCAUAUGUGUUGAACCCACACUAUAGUUAUGCAGAUAGCUCCGUCUUUACCACUGCAAAUGAAGGAUUUCAGGAGUGUGCUGAACAAUACUAUGGAAAUGAUCAUGAUACUUGCAUGCUGGUUGUCAAUGACGAGUUUCUGAAAUAUGAAAACAAAGAAGGAACUUUUGGAAAGAAGCUUGCAAAAUGA
rnacentral:rRNA from 1 species